GCUGAUCCAUGUCGUCCUCGGGGCCUAUGCAGACGGUCUCGAUAGCUUUUUGC
rnacentral:sRNA from 1 species